rnacentral:rRNA from 1 species
UGCGCCUACGGGGGGCAGCAGUGAGGAAUAUUGGUCAAUGGGCGCAAGCCUGAACCAGCCAAGUCGCGUGAGGGAAGACGGCCCUACGGGUUGUAAACCUCUUUUGCCGGGGAGCAAGCCUGAGCACGUGUGCCCAGGCGGAGAGUACCCGGAGAAAAAGCAUCGGCUAACUCCGUGCCAGCAGCCGCGGUAAUACGGAGGAUGCGAGCGUUAUCCGGAUUUAUUGGGGUUAGAGGGUGCGUAGGCGGAGUGUUAUGGCAGCGGUAAAAGCCCGGGGC